AGUGAACGCUGGCGGUAGGCCUAACACAUGCAAGUCGAACGGCAGCACAGUAAGAGCUUGCUCUUACGGGUGGCGAGUGGCGGACGGGUGAGGAAUACAUCGGAAUCUACUUUUUCGUGGGGGAUAACGUAGGGAAACUUACGCUAAUACCGCAUACGACCUACGGGUGAAAGCAGGGGAUCUUCGGACCUUGCGCGAUUGAAUGAGCCGAUGUCGGAUUAGCUAGUUGGCGGGGUAAAGGCCCACCAAGGCGACGAUCCGUAGCUGGUCUGAGAGGAUGAUCAGCCACACUGGAACUGAGACACGGUCCAGACUCCUACGGGAGGCAGCAGUGGGGAAUAUUGGACAAAGGGCGCAAGCCUGAUCCAGCCAUACCGCGUGUGUGAAGAAGGCCUUCGGGUUGUAAAGCCCUUUUGUUGGGAAAGAAAAGCAGCAGGUUAAUACCCCGCUGUUCUGACGGUACCCAAAGAAUAAGCACCGGCUAACUUCGUG
rnacentral:rRNA from 1 species